rnacentral:lncRNA from 1 species
UCUCCCUGCCCAAUUUGGUAAAUGUGUGCUAGAGGAAACAUAUGCUGUGUCAUUCCUGUCACCAAGAUGAGGAGAAGGCGGUUCUGUAAAGGCAAGUUCUGCUAAAUUGCUACCUGGUCAUUAAAAAAAAGGUCCCUCAGUGCAUUUUGGACUAGUGCCAGAUAAUCCUAAUCAGCACAGGGGCUAAAUGAACCCUGGGGUCCCUUGUCAGCCCUUGGACAGGUAGGAUUUUUAAGAAGCUAGGU